UACAGAGGGGGCAAGCGUUAUUCGGAAUUAUUGGGCGUAAAGGGCGCGUAGGCGGCCUGGCAAGUGGAAGGUGAAAUCCCUCGGCUUGACCGAGGAACUGCCCUCCAAACUGCUUGGCUUGAGUCCGGGAGAGGUGAGUGGAAUUCCCAGUGUAGCGGUGAAAUGCGUAGAUAUUGGGAGGAACACCAGUGGCGAAGGCGGCUCACUGGACCGGAACUGACGCUGAGGCGCGAAAGCGUGGGGAGCAAACGGG
rnacentral:rRNA from 1 species